GAUCAUGGCUCAGGAUGAACGCUAGCGGCAGGCUUAACACAUGCAAGUCGAGGGGCAGCGCGGGUAGCAAUACCUGGCGGCGACCGGCGAAAGGGUGAGUAACGCGUGAGCAACGUGCCCGUAUGUGGGGGAUAGUCGAUGGAAACGUCGCGUAAUACCCCGUAAUACAUUCUCCCGCAUGAGAGGAUGUUGAAAGAUUUAUUGCAUACGGAUCGGCUCGCGUGCCAUUAGGUAGACGGCGGGGUAACGGCCCACCGUGCCGACGAUGGCUAGGGGUUCUGAGAGGAAGGUCCCCCACAUUGGAACUGAGACACGGUCCAGACUCCUACGGGAGGCAGCAGUGAGGAAUAUUGGACAAUGGCCGGAAGGCUGAUCCAGCCAUGCCGCGUGCCGGGAGGACGGCCCUAUGGGUUGUAAACCGCUUUUGCGAGGGAGCAAUAAGGGUAACGUGUUGCCCGAUGAGAGUACCUCGCGAAUAAGCAUCGGCUAACUCCGUGCCAGCCGCAGC
rnacentral:rRNA from 1 species